AUGGGAUUCGGAUUGAUAUUUUCAGUAGUCGGCGGUGGGGAGCUGCUCGUGUGGGCGCUGGCCGAUGAAGCAGAUGUCGUAGACGAGGGCGGCGAUGGCGGCGCCGGCGAAGGGGCCGAGCCAGUACACCCAGUGGUUCUCCCAGACGCCGCUGACCACGGCGGGGCCGAAGGAGACGGCGGGGUUCAUGGAGGCGCCGAUGUUGGCGCCGACGAUGAAGCCGAUGGCGAUGGGCGCGAUGACCCCGAGGUCGCCGCGCUUGGGGUCGACGGCGGUGGCGUAGACGGUGUAGACGAGGCCGAAGGUCAUGACGAUCUCGAAGACCACGGCGUUCCAGACGCCGACGCCGGCGGAGAGCGAGAAGGCGCCCACGGCCUCGCCGCCGGUGGCGAUCUUGAGGAGGAGGCAGGCCACGACGGAGCCGAGCAGCUGCGCCACCCAGUACACCACCGCCUUGAGGAGGCUGAUGUUGCCGCCCACGAAGGCGCCGAAUGUGACGGCCGGGUUCACGUGGCCGCCCGAGAUGUUGGCGCCCACGGAGACGGCCACGAAGAGCGCGAACGCGUGCGCCAGCGCCGCCGCGAUCAGCCCCGCCGGCGUCGUCGCACCGCCGUCAGUCAGCUUGCCUGCCAGUACGGCACGCCAUGCAAAACCGGCGAUCAGCACUUGAUGGAUGACAUGAUGAUCGGUCGAUGCACCAGGAAAGGAAGAAAGAAAUGGGGGUGGGCCUUACCGAAGGCCAUGCCGGAGCCUGAGCCGGCGAAGACGAAGAUGAGCAUGGAGAUGAACUCGGCGACGCCGGCGCGGAAGGUGUCCGGGUGGGACAGCUCCCCCGGGGCGCCGAUGGCGAUCCUGCUCACCGGCAUUUUCGACGGGCGCUCUUUUUUUCGGGAUGAAUGGAUCGGCUCCUGUCCUGUGCAGCUAGCUAGUGUUGAAUUGUGUGGUGUGGUGAUGGUGUGUCGAUCAUGCAGUGUUGGUUAUAUAUAG
rnacentral:rRNA from 1 species